GAUUCUUCUGACUGGAAAGAUGGAGAAUGCAGAGGUGGCGAUUGAUGCUCUUUCGAUCUGUCUUAUCAUCACUGGCUGGACUACAGUGGUGUCGGGAGGCUUCCUAUCUGCAGUAAGUGUGCGCGUCUCGAAUGAGCUGGGGAGGAAGGAUACCAUAGCUGCAAAGUUCUCUAUUGUGACAACGCUUGUG